GAUGAACGCUGGCGGCGUGCCUAAUACAUGCAAGUCGAGCGAACAGACGAGGAGCUUGCUCCUCUGACGUUAGCGGCGGACGGGUGAGUAACACGUGGAUAACCUACCUAUAAGACUGGAAAAAUUCGGGAAAACGGAGGUAAAUAGGGGAAAAUAUUGAAAAGCACAGGGUAAAAGAGAAAAAGGGGGUUUGGGUGUCAUAUAGAUGGAGCCCCGCCGCAUUAGCUAGUUGGUAAGGUAACGGCUUACCAAGGCAACGAUGCGUAGCCGACCUGAGAGGGUGUUCGGCCACACUGGAACUGAGACACGGUCCAGACUCCUACGGGAGGCAGCAGUAGGGAAUCUUCCGCAAUGGGCGAAAGCCUGACGGAGCAACGCCGCGUGAGUGAUGAAGGUCUUCGGAUCGUAAAACUCUGUUAUUAGGGAAGAACAAAUGUGUAGGUAACUAUGCACGUCUUGACGGUACCUAAUCAGAAAGCCACGGCUAACUACGUG
rnacentral:rRNA from 1 species